rnacentral:rRNA from 1 species
GAUGAACGCUGGCGGCGUGCCUAAUACAUGCAAGUCGAACGCUGGAAAUCUAGCUUGCUAGAUUGAAGGAGUGGCGAACGGGUGAGUAAUACAUAAGCAACCUACCCACGAAGACUGGGAUAAUCUCUGGAAACGGGGACUAAUACCGGAUAGGUAAUCGGAAGGCAUCUUCUGAUUAUUAAAGGUUAAAAACACUGGUGGAUGGGCUUAUGGCGCAUUAGUUAGUUGGUGAGGUAACGGCCCACCAAGACGAUGAUGCGUAGCCGGCCUGAGAGGGUGAACGGCCACAUUGGGACUGAGACACGGCCCAGACUCCUACGGGAGGCAGCAGUAGGGAAUUUUCGGCAAUGGGGGAAACCCUGACCGAGCACCGCCGCGUGAGUGAUGACGGCCUUCGGGUUGUAAAGCUCUGUUGUAAGGGAAGAACGGUAGAUAGAGAAUAUCUAAAUGACGGUACCUUACCAGAAAGCCACGGCUAACUACGUG